rnacentral:rRNA from 1 species
GUCUAUGGCCAUGCCAUGCUGAACAAGCCCAAUCCCGUCUGAUCUCGGAAGCUAAGCAGGGUCAGCUAAGCAGGGUCGGGCCUGGUUAGUACUUGGAUGAGAGACCAUCUAGGAAGACCAAGUGCUGUAGGCA